UUUCAUGCUCAGAAAGUAAGCUGUAGUAAUUGCCAAUAAUAGAGCAAGUUUCGGGCCGAAAUUUGUCUAUUGAAGAAGCGACUUGUGCUAAAAACCCGAGUUUCGACUUGUUUUCUAAAACAAACAACACAUUAGAGUAAGUAUCCAUGUCAUCUAAACGAUAUGGGUCAUUUGUUAGUAUGUUCUCGAAAAGCGACUCAGCUUCGUCAAAGUCUGUAAAGUUAGUAAAUAAAAGACUUAGAAUAGUAUACCUCUACUGUCAUAUGUGAGUAGUGCUCGCUGAGUCUUUAGAUAACGACUAUUAGGGAAGAUGAUUUCCGCUUCAGCAAGUUUUUCGUACGCAGAGCUAUUAACUUGAUGAAGCUCAUGAGAUGCAUAGACGUAAAAAAUUUUGGUCAUAAUGUGGGUUGAAGGUAACUGGCUGACAACUGUUGUCAACGUUUCCAAACUAUCUAUGCUUAAUGAUAACUCUAGCCAAGCAGACCAAAAAAAUGGAGCUUUGAGGACACAAGAUUUUAAAAAGUCGAUAGCUUUGCUAUCCUGCUUUCUCUUUCGAUAUACAACUCCACUUAAAUACAACAAAUAAGGAUCCUUAUUACCCUGAUAAUGAAGACUUUCCAAAACUUCAGAAAUGUAAUAAAAUUCUCGGUUUGUAGAUGAUAGUGUUAGGUUCGUAUUUAAUAAGGUUUCAUUUUCUUCUUCACUUUUCUUUUCACCUGCCAAGUACUUACUAUACAAUCGUAGGAAUAUCGAUUUAGACGAUUUGCAGUUUUGCAAAGUAUAAGCUGCCCUCUCAAACUCUUUACAAUCGAAAUAAGACUUUGCAAGCAAAUAAAUAUUUUUCUCCUCAACCUCUAGUAGCUUUUCAUUAGCCAUAUCAGGAUCCAAAUCGAACUCUCCAGUAGGGGUCGAUGAAAAUGGAAUAUGUUCCAUUUCAAUAGGAUUCAUUCCAUUGAGCAUUUCAGCUGCCCUAAAAAAUGCGUCAGUAAAGGAAGCUAACUAAAAGUGGAAGGAUGAUUUCACACAACAAUAGAUAAUAAAGAAAACUUCAGUUAAACAUUUCUUGAAGAAUUGCUUUGAAUUACAUGAGGUUUCGAAACUAAUAGCAACAAAACCGUUGGACUUUUGAAUGAGGAUAAU